rnacentral:rRNA from 1 species
GACGAACGCUGGCGGCGUGCCUAACACAUGCAAGUCGAGCGAAUGAAGUUCCUUCGGGAACGGAUUUAGCGGCGGACGGGUGAGUAACACGUGGGCAACCUGCCUCAUAGAGGGGAAUAGCCUUCCGAAAGGGAGAUUAAUACCGCAUAAGAUUGUAGUACCGCAUGGUACAGCAAUUAAAGGAGCAAUCCGCUAUGAGAUGGGGCCCGCGGCGCAUUAGCUAGUUGGUGAGGUAACGGCUCACCAAGGCGACGAUGCGUAGCCGACCUGAGAGGGUGAUCGGCCACAUUGGGACUGAGACACGGCCCAGACUCCUACGGGAGGCAGUAGUGGGGAAUAUUGCACAAUGGGGGAAACCCUGAUGCAGCAACGCCGCGUGAGUGAUGACGGCCU